UACGUAGGGUCCGAGCGUUGUCCGGAAUUACUGGGCGUAAAGGGCUCGUAGGCGGCCAACUAAGUCAGACGUGAAAUCCCUCGGCUUAACCGGGGAACUGCGUCUGAUACUGGAUGGCUUGAGUUUGGGAGAGGGAUGCGGAAUUCCAGGUGUAGCGGUGAAAUGCGUAGAUAUUGGGAGGAACACCAGUGGCGAAGGCGGCUCACUGGACUGGUACUGACGCUGAGGCGCGAAAGCGUGGGGAGCAAACGGG
rnacentral:rRNA from 1 species